UCCGGUUUGUCACCGGCAGUCUUCCAUGAGUCCCCGGCCGAACCGCUGGCAACAUGGAACGGGGGUUGCGCUCGUUGCGGGACUUAACCCAACACCUCACGGCACGAGCUGACGACAGCCAUGCGGCACCUGUGCACGCUCCCUUGCGGGUCGGUCACCUUUCGGAUCCCUACCACGUGCAUGUCAAACCCAGGUAAGGUUCUUCGCGUUGCAUCGAAUUAAACCACACGCACCGCUGCUUGUGCGGGCCCCCGUCAAUUCCUUUGAGUUUUAGCCUUGCGGCCGUAGUCCCCGGGCGGAGUACUUAAUGCGUUAGCGACGGCACCGAGGGGGUCGAUACCCCCGACACCUAGUACUCAUCGUUUACGGCGUGGACUAC
rnacentral:misc_RNA from 1 species